rnacentral:rRNA from 1 species
CAGCCGCCGCGGGAAUACGUAGGUGGCAAGCGUUGUCCGGAAUUAUUGGGCGUAAGGGCUCGCAGGCGGUUUCUUAAGUCUGAUGUGAAAGCCCCCGGCUCAACCGGGGAGGGUCAUUGGAAACUGGGAAACUUGAGUGCAGAAGAGGAGAGUGGAAUUCCACGUGUAGCGGUGAAAUGCGUAGAGAUGUGGAGGAACACCAGUGGCGAAGGCGACUCCCUGGUCUGUAACUGACGCUGAGGAGCGAAAGCGUGGGGAGCGAACAGGAUUAGAUACCCCGGUAGUCCCUGUCUCUUAUACA